rnacentral:rRNA from 1 species
GCAUUCAGUUGGGCACUUUAAAGAGACUGCCGGUGUUAAACCGGAGGAAGGUGGGGAUGACGUCAAGUCCUCAUGGCCUUUAUGCUUAGGGCUACACACGUGCUACAAUGGGUGGUACAAAGAGAAGCCAACUCGCGAGAGCGCGCCAAUCUCAAAAAGCCAUCCUCAGUUCGGAUUGGAGUCUGCAACUCGACUCCAUGAAGUUGGAAUCGCUAGUAAUCGCGGAUCAGCAUGCCGCGGUGAAUACGUUCCCGGGCCUU